rnacentral:rRNA from 1 species
UACAGAGGGUGCGAGCGUUAAUCGGAGUUACUGGGCGUAAAGGGCGCGUAGGCGGAUAAUUAAGAUAGAUGUGAAAUCCCCGGGCUUAACCUGGGAAGGUCAUCUAAGACUGAAUAUCUGGAGUACUGUAGAGGGUAGUGGAAUUUCCGGUGUAGCGGUGAAAUGCGUAGAGAUCGGAAGGAACACCAGUGGCGAAGGCGGCUACCUGGACAGAAACUGACGCUGAGGCGCGAGAGCGUGGGGAGCAAACAGG